UGCCAAGGUUGGAGACCCCCGUUUUGGGCAACGGAAAGGCUGGUUCUUGGGAAGAGCUCUCAGACUCAACUGACAUUCCCGGAGUUUAAAAGGAUUUGCAAGCAGGCUACCAUUGCCCUUACCAUUGUGGCCAAGUCAUCUUCUGAAUGCACAAGGAAGGCAUAAAGGCAACUGGAGGUUUUGCAGAAGUACAAAGGAAAUUUAAAGAAGAAAAACAGUGGAGAAAAUGACUCACUGAAGAAGAGCCUAAUGCUGGGAAAGAUUGAGGGCAAAAGAAGAACGGGACGACAGAGAAUGAGGUGGCUGGAUGGAAUCACUGAAGCAGUUGGCAUGAGCUUAAAUGGACUCCAGAGGAUGGUAGAGGAUAGGAAGGCCCGGAGGAAUGUUGUCCAUGGGGUCACAAUGGGUCGAACACGACUUCGCAACUAACAACAACAACAAUAUACAUCCACUUAUUUUAGCAUACAAAAUCUGUUUCCAAAAUAUUUUUUCCUAAAUAUUUUUGCAAUAUAGGAACAAUAUCUCUUUUUGGCAGUGGUUCAAGCUUAGUUUCAAUUUAGUUUUUGAAUGUUUCAUUACCAGACUAGGUAUCAUCAGCAGGAUUUUCUUGUCCUAUUCUCCUUAGCUUAUAAAUGUCUUGCGUGCCACUGUGGUCAGUUGGUUGGUUGAUUGGUUGUUUGUUUGGAGCUAUAUUUCAAUUCUGAGCAGCUGAUUGGUUCUGUUGAUUGGUUUUUCAAAUGGCCUGGUUUCUUACAUAUUCAUAUGCUGGAGGCUAGAUCAAUAUGCUUGUUAAUUGCUCCUUUAGUAGAAUACCAGGUUUCAAUAAAUUCACAUUUGUGGAGGGUAUUAGCAUGGCCAAUGAUUUUUGUUCCUGCCCAAUCGAAUAAUACUUCAUUGCCUAGUCAAAAAGAACUAAUGAAUAAUAAAAAUAUAUUUUAUUACCUUUGCUUUCAGGAUGUGCUCUUUUCAUAUGUGCUGUGUGAAUAAUUUUUAAGAUCCAUUGGGUCUGUGGCUUGAAUAGAACUGCCAUACACGUGUUGUGCAUCUUUUAAUAAAGGAAAUCAAUUUGUGUCUUUCCUGUGUGCAAGUGUGUGAAUAUAAAUACAUUCUACAAUCUUUAUUACUUUAUUUUAGAUUUCCCUUUCUGUUCAUUCUGUUACAGAUUAAGUCAGACUCAUUUUCUUCAAAUUAACAGGAAAUUACAAAAGACAAAUUCCAGACAAAGAUUAUAAUUUAAAUGAAUGUCCACGCCUGUGAGGGCUCCUGGAUUAAGGCUGAAAGGUGAAAGGCAAGCAGUAUGCUCUCUCCCAUAUUUGGGUAGACCAGGUUACUUCAUUAAAAAAAAACCCUUAAUCUUUUCCCUGGUACAGCUGACAAAGUGAGGAGGAGAACCUGUGGCUUAGAGGUUAAUACAUCUGCCUAAUAUGCAAGCAAGCCCAGGUUCAAAUCCCAGAAGGUUAUGGCUAACUGAUGAGAGCUAAAUAGAUCUCCCUUUAUUUCUUUGUCAGUAAAUAUAAAUUUACCACAAAAUAGUUUGUCAUGUAAGCAACUGCCUGUGAAGGCUCCUGGAUUGGGGCUGAAAGGCGAAAGGGAAGCAAUAUGCUCCCUCCCAUAUUUGGGUAGACCAGAUUGUUUCCAGAAGAAAAAAAAAACACCACUAUAUACUCUCUCUCUCUCUCUCUCUCUCUCUCUCUCUCACACACACACACAGUUGUUCUAAAAACAUGACACAAAAAGACAAGAUACAUAUUUCAUCAUUUUCUGAACUGAAGGAUAAGAUAGAAUGUGCUUCUUUAUCUGAGAUAUCUUCACAUAAUGGUUUAUAAAAAUCUUUCUAAACUUAACAUAAAAACAUUCAUGCAUAUGUUCAUUUACUAAGGGAGCUUCUUAAUGAAUUUUAGUAUUUCAUCUUGCUUAUGUAUUAUAUUCACAGCAUUUUCCUGUGGUAGCAUUUUUACUGUCCUUCUUAUAAAACUUUUUCUCAAAUAAGAAAAAGCCCAAAGAUUAAAACCAACAAACAAUCUGCUUCAUUUUCAUAAUUGCUUCAUGCAUAUUUUGUUAUAAUAGUUAUGUUGUAUAGUAGUUGUGUUAAAUUCUAAGCAUCUUUUUUGAUAAUAAUUUAUUAAUACUUCUCAUAUCAUGUCAGUAUAUUAGAAACAAAAUUUGAUUUGCAAGAUGGAAAUCAAUGCUGCUGUAUAAAAUUUCCUGGUUUACCCUACCACUGAUAUUAAUAUAAUCCACCAAGAUACCUGCAAUAAUUAAUUUAAAUUGCAGAUUUGAGUGCCUUAUAAGCUCUGACCUUAUAAGGGAGUGAUCAUUCCACUGAACUCCAAUCUUCUUUGGAAUAACCCAGUAUAUAUUUCAAUACCCAUUUGUAUGAUUCAACACCGAUUUGUAUGAUUGGCAAUUUGGGAUAUUAGUUGUUUUAAUGAUUUUUGUAAUUUCUGUAUCAAAUGGACUUUUAAUACUCCAAACCUUUUAGAGAUUGGAAAUGAACAUUCCGUAUCCAAUAUAGUAUAUCUCAUAUCACUGUAAUUUGUAUAAUUUGAGGGGUUCCAUAAAAUAUAUUUUCCAAUUACAUAAAACAAAGGUAGGCAUAAUGAGAAAAAAUAAAAGUGUAAGAAUCUCGAAGCUACUUUGUCAGUUGACUAAUAAAAUUAGAAGCUAGUGAAAAUCAGAUUAUACAACAGAAGAAUUAGGAUAUUUUCUUGACCAUGUAGAAUUAAAUUAGGUUGUUAAGUAAAUGUAAUAUAUAAUUAGGAUGAAGAAUUAUGUUUCACUUUUGAAAAAAAAUACACAAGGGAACUGGAAUUUUAGCCAUCCAACAGUCUGAAAACUUGCAUUUACUGCAAGUUGCCUUCAGUUCUUAAGAUUUAGGUUCCUACCAAGGCUAAUUGUGAGAAAAGAACCUCAUAUUUUCUAUUUUAGCUCACUUUUCAUUUGAAGUAUUUUAAAAAUAUUUUAAAUUGGAAACUGGUGAUUUCUUAAACUAGAUUGCCUAUAGAUGCUGCUUUGAGUGUUUUACAAGUUUUGAAGGAAUUAAAAAGAACUGUUUGAAAAUGAUCUCAGCCAUAAGCAUACAUUCUCAAAUAUAUAUUUAAUUUGGCUAAAAUUCUCACCAACUGCAUGACUACCGCAGGGAAUUAUUUAAACAAGAGAGUAACUUACAGUUGUCUCAUUGAAAUCUAUACUUGCACUCUGUGGACUGCUUCUCAUACUGGAUGAAGAUGUUAAAAUGGUAUUUUCUUCUCUCUGCAUCUCCCAUCUCCCAAAGAAUGCUGAUCUAGAUAACUAUAACAGCAUGAGAACAGAUACUAGAUGCUUCAGAUAAAAAACAAAUGUGUGACCUUAAUGGAUUUAUCAAAACAGGCACUUCUAUGUUAACUUGGGUUUCAUUUCAAAAAAUUGCAUGAAAUGUGGACUCAAACCCUCAGUCAAGACUAAAAAGUACUUUUUAAAACCAUAUUUUUUUAGAUUGAAAAAGAAUUGUUAUUCCAGCUCGAAUCUAUUGAAAGGAAACUGUCAGCACCAGGUUCCAUUGCUUUCAUAAACAAUAAUUGCAUAGAAGAGGCUCUUUGGAUCCCACUUAAUGUUACCUGAGAAGUAUACAUUAAAUUGAAAUUGUUCACUAAUCAUUAACCAGAGCAGAUGGUUAAUACCAAUAUAGUCUUCUUUAAACACUAAAUGCUUUAAUUUUAUCCAGUUUGUUAGCAUGGUGGCAUUAAGCUUUUCACCAUAGGGUGCCCUUUUAUUUAAGUUGGACCAUAUGUUAAGCCCAACUUAUGUUAUUCAUCUAAAUUUAAGUGGUAUCUGUUUGUAGAAAUAAGGCUCCUUUCACAAUCUAUAGCUACCUAAGGAUUGCUUGAUACACAGCUUUAGGUGUCACCUAAAAUGUUUGCUUCUACUGUACAGAUUCCCAUACUUAUAAUAGGAUGGUGGGGUGUGCUUAGCAAGAAGCAAAGACUGUGGGGAGACAUAAUAAUUGUGUUCAAAUACUUGAAGGCAAGUAAAAUAAAGGGCAGAAUUGUUGAGAGUUCUUCCAGAAGACAGGAAAAAAUGGAUUUAUAUUACAAAGUAGAUUUUGAUUGAACAUCAAAAAGUACUUCUGAAUAAGAAGAAAUACUUGGUUAUGGAAGAAAUUGGUACCUUCUCCUUUACUGUAGGUGUUGGAUAGUUGUCUGCUGGAGAUGCUGUAGCAGUGGAUUCUGCACUGGUAAUGGGGUUAGAUUAUUUAUUUAUUUAUUUAAUUAGAUUUUUAUACCACCCUUCUCCCGAAGGACUCAGGGCGGUUUACAGCCAGAUAAAACAAAGCAGCAAUAUAAAUACAAGAUAAAAUACUGUUUAAAAAACUUAUUCAAUUUGGCCCAAGUUAAGAUAAAUUUAAAACAAUAAAACCCAUUAAAAAUUAAAACCAUAUAAAAUCUAAAAUCCUAUGCCAGUCCUGCGCGAAUAAACAAAUAUGUCUUCAGCUCGCGGCGAAAGGUUCGAAGGUCAGGAAGUUGGCGGAGUCCUGUGGGAAGUUCGUUCCAGAGGGUAGGAGCCCUCACAGAGAAGGCCCUUCCCCUGGGGGCCGCCAGCCGACAUUGCUUGGCGGACGGCACCCUGACGAGUCUCUUUGUGAGAGUGCACGGGUCGGUGGGAGGCAGUCGGUAGCAGUAGGCGGUCCCGUAGAUAACCCGGCCCUAAGCCAUGGAGUGCUUUAAAGGUAGUAAUCAGCACCUUGAAGUGCACCCGAAAGACCACAGGUAGCCAGUGCAGCCUGCGCAGGAGUGGUGUCACAUGGGAGCCACGAGCGGCUCCCUCUAUCACCCGUGCAGCUGCAUUCUGAAUCAACUGGAGCCUCCGGGUGCUCUUCAAGUGGAGCCCCAUGUAGAGAGCAUUGCAGUAGUCCAAGCGAGAGGUAACAAGAGCAUGAGUGACCGUGCAUAGGGAUCCCGGUCAAGGAAGGGGCGCAACUGGCAAAUCAGGUGAACCUGAUAAAAAGCUUUCCUGGAGACGGUCGUCAGGUGAUCUCCAAAAGACAACCGUCCAUCCAGGAGGACACCCAAGUUGCGCACCCUUUCCAUCGGGGCCAAUGACUCGCCCCCAACAGUCAGCCGCGGCUGCAGCUGACUGUACCGGGGUGCCGGCAUCCACAGCCACUCCGUCUUGGAGGGAUUGAGCUUGAACCUGUUUCUCCCCAUCCAGACCCGUACGGCUUCCAGACACCGGGACAGUACUUCGAUGGCUUCGUUGAGGUGGCCUGGGGUGGAAAAGUACAGCUGCAUGUCAUCAGCGUACAGUUGGUACCUCACCCCAAAACCACUGAUGAUCUCACCCAGCGGCUUCAUAUAGAUGUUGAACAGGAGAGGCGAGAGAAUCGACCCCUGCGGCACCCCACAAGUGAGGCGCCUCGUCAACACCGUCUGCGACCGGUCAGAGAGAUAGGAGAACCACCGAUAAACGGUGCCUCCCACUCCCAAACUCCCCAGCCGGUGCAGUAGGAACAACCCCUUCCAACAAAGAAGCAUUGGUAAUCCCCCGGAGCCAGCCUCGUGUCACCUCCUGCGUUAGAUCAUCUCCAGGCUCCCUUCCAAUUUUGAUACUCCAAGUAGUAUAUACAAACUUUGAUUGGCAGGCAAUAAACUUGCUAAAAGAUUACUGUACCUAGUUCUGCAAAAAAUAAGUGCAGCCCUUAUAUUGAAGAAUUAUUUUAUCUACCAAACAAUAGAUUAUGAAAAUAUGAAUGCUCAAGUUACAGAAGUACAACACUUAUUUUGUUGUUGUUGUUGUUGUUAGUUGCAAAGUCGUGUCCGACCCAUUGUAACCCCUUAACUUUAAAAAUUAAGGUAAUAUGCAUUUAUAAAAAAGGGUAGUUGUCCCCAAGAUUUUCAGAUCUAUUCAUACCAGCAUAAUUUUGGUAAUUAUAAAAUAAUGUCUAGUCUUAAUAAGGAAACAAAACUUAUUUUUCCAUAAAAAUGGUUUACUUUUAAUAUUUUAAUAACUUGUCCAUCUAUGUCAGGGAUAGUCAACCUUUUUAUACCUACUGCCCAUUUUUGUAUCUCUGUUAGUAGUAAAAUUUUCUAACCGCCCACCAGUUCCACAGUAAUGUGCUGUGUAUCGUCUGCGCAUGCCUCUCGCGCAUCGUGGAUUGGGUUUGGAGGAGGGGGGUGGCGCGCCGGCUACCAGCUCUGCUUGUCUGUUACAGCUGGGAGGUGUGUGGGGAGAUGCGUGAGCUAUUCUGGUAAGAGGCUCUUUUGUUUGCGGUUGCACUACAGCACCAUUUAGUUUCACUUACGUAACACGAACUAAACUUAUGUGUGGGCGAUAUAAAUAGUAUAUUUUCAGAAAUUUAAAUUGUCACGGGGAUUUUUUUGAAAACCUAAUGAAAAUGUUUUUAAAUAAUGCUAUGAACAUUUUUUAAAACGUCAAUUAAAUUAAAAAAAAGGAAAGUGCUUCAGUAUCUGACAAAACCCCUACCGCCCACCAUGAAAGCUGGAACGCCCACUAGUGGGCAGUAGGGACCAGGUUGACUACCACUGAUCUAUGUAUUGUGUAUUAAAAACAAGCUUUACUACUAAAAUAAAUCCUUUGUAAGUAUUCUAAAAACAUUAUUACAGCUAACAAAAUAAAGCACUGAGUUCAUAGCAAAAGAAGCCAUAAUGAAGUUAGCUACUCUGAGGCCAGAGUAUGGAGGGUUAUGAUCAUAGUAUUAGACAGCAUUCCUAAAUGUGUUUGGAAAUCUUGUAGGUUCAAUAAGAUUUCUUUAAACAGUUAUUUAAAAAAAUCAAAUAAUUGUUCUUAGCACAGCUUUAAUGUUGAAGAUGGGACUUUCUCAUUGUCUUAAUCUGAUCCAGUUUAUUUUCUUGAAUUCCACAAUGUAUUUUUAAUAUUGAGACAAUAUCAACUUUAAUCAAAGAUAUCUUAAAUUUAAGAACAGGAAGUUGUAAUGAACUACUAAAACACACACUUUUCAACAGGUAAAUACUGAUAUUUGCUUUGAAAUAAAUUAUUAACUUAUCAAGUAAUUCAUCUUCAAGGCAUUCAAGUGAAGAUAAACAAAAGGGGAAGGUAAUCUCAAAAAAAGUACAACUAGCAGAGAUAAUCAGGCUGUCUCAGACAAUUAGGUAGGAAAGACAACACAAUGUUGUUUGUAAAACAAAGAAGAAUGUAGGUGAAAAGCAUGCAUCAUUUAUUCUUGCCGAUUUAAAACUCGUUUACGUAUAAUUAUUUUUAAAAUUUGAGAAAUUAAAUACUAAUACUUUUCUGACAAUUUAAUUUAUACUUAACUUUAUACAAAAUUACUAUUUACUGAGCAACUUAAUUUUUGAUAAUAGUUCUCUGUAGUGUUAAAUAGCAUUCUACUCAGAUGAGUUCAGCCUCAUGUUUCUUGCCUAUUCUUUUUUCAGUUACCUUAUUUGUCUAUAUAAUAUGGAAAAAUUAUAUUAACUAUAUUACUGCUGCUACUAUAAUUUCUCCCUGCGGGCCUAUUACAAACUUAUGUGUAAGACUUAUUGUACAUUUAUAACUAAAGAGGUGUAGGUACUUUCUAAUAUUUUCUUAAAUUAAUUGUACUAGAUCACCUUACCCACCUCAAAAACAAAUAUUACAUACUUGCGUCAAAUUUUUAAUCCAGAUUUACUUGUUUCCAACAUUAGGAAAUGUAGGAAAGUUUAUUUGGUUUUUCAAGCUCAAGCAAAAAGGAGUUAAGUUUCACAUUUCAGAGCUUGGUGGCUAAUAAUUUUAAAAUAAUUGACAAACAUACCUGUAGAUUUUCAGUCUAAUGGUAUAUUUAAAGUACAUAUAUAUUUCAUUAAAAAUUAUUUUCUUCCUCCAUGCUGUCUAUAAGCUUAAAGGAAGAUAAAAUAUAUCGGCAAUGACUUAGUAUACCAGCCAACUUUAUUGAUGUAAAGAAUAUGUGUGUGUAGCAUUCUGUCCAGUAUUGUAAAUAUACUGUAUAUGCUACGUUUUUCAGUGUACAAAUGGAUUUCUUGCAUAAUGCAAACCCAUAGUAUGUCUUUUUGUUACAUCUUUUCAGCAAUAUAUACCCUAGUAACUAAAUCAAAAGCUAACAGGCUUAGUAGAAUACCUACUGUUAGAAUUCUUAGCCUAAAAUGAUUUGUCAGUGAUAGAAAUGGACCAUUAUUCAUCAUGUCUGAAAAAGAUACAAAAAUAGAUACACAGUAUUUUGGUUUUAUUUUUUCAGCCUGUAUCAUCUAAACAGCUAACUAGAAAGAAAAUGAAAGCCAUUUGAGGAAAUGGGAAGGUAAUAUUGAAUAAAUAAACAGCCUUUAUAAAUGAUUUGUUAGAAGAGAAACCCUGGUUUUUCUACUGCACUAAUAAGAAAUUCCAAUGCAGUAUGACUAGUAAGUUUAUACUAUAUAUCACUGUAAUUUCACUGUACACUUGAUAUACUACUAAUAUCCAGAAAGGAUUUAAAAUAGCAUUUUAUAUAGAUGAGGAUUCUUUAAACAGAUUUUCAUAUUUAGUUUUUAUUUAACAAAAUGUAUCAGUGAUGUAUCUCUCAUACUCUCCCUGGUACAAGAACACUCAAAAAGCAGGAAACCGAAUAAGAAACAUUACUUCAUUUAUCAAUGUCUUUAUGAUGAAUAUCUAUUUUACAAUUCCAAUUCCUUGGCUGCUUGACUCCACAAUGAUGCUGGGUGGCUGAAAAUGUAAAAAUGUAAAAAAAACCAACAACUUAUGUAGGUAGAUCUGAAGUCACAACCACAAUCGAGACCAAAUUUUGAUCACAUGAUUGCGGAGAUUCUGUGACGGUUGUAAGUCACUUUUUAAGUGCUGUUAUAACUUUGAACAGUCACCAUACAAUUGAUUGUAAGUCAAGAACUACCUGUAUGAAAGAAAAAGAAUGCAGCUGACAAGAAGACAAAACCAAAAGGCAAAAGUGGCUCAUUGAUCAUGCUACCCCAAAACCUUGGAGAACUCUGCAGAAAUUCAAAAAAAUAGCAGCAGAACCCAUCUACGAUGUUUCUGGAGAGAAUAUGCAUAAUGUUACAAAAAAAACUUUUGUCUAUCAAGCACUUAAAUGAUUAAGCUUUGACUGAAACUUAUAAGAUCCAUAAAGUACAUCAAAUAUGUAUACAUCAACAUCUGUCAGCAACGACCUGAUAUACUUUAUGUCAGUCAAUCAAAUCAGUCAAUGACCAAAUCAGUCAAUAUGAAAAGAAGAAACAAAACAGGUCCAAUUAUUAGAAUUAAUUGUAUACCAAAUACAAAUAUUUAUUUGGUCAUUUUCCAACAAGUUUUCUCCAUUUUUCCUUCUUCUGAACUAGUACUGGGGCAUAAAUAAAAUGUAAGUCUAUAAAUCUCAUGCAAUAAGGGAGUUGUUGGUCUUUGGCACAAUAUACAUACAGUGCAAUGUUUUGAUAAUUUUUUUGUAUAGGACAGAGGAAAAUAAACACUCUACCCUACUUCAUUUUUUUCCACAUUAUAAACAUUUUUGCUUAUUUUCAACAAUUUUUUUUUAAAAAACCUCAUUUUCCUUCACUGCAUAAGGUAACAAGUUAAAGUGCCCUCAAGAGAAGCCUGACUUUAAAGCCAUGAAGGUUUGAUGGCCCUUGGUCACAUUCUAGAAGUUGAUUUUUGUUCCUUGUCUUCUUUUCUAUACCAGCCAUGAAAUUCCCAACGGUCUCCUAUCCAAACACUAUCCAGGAUCAGCCGAGGGCAGCCAGAUGCUGCCACCCGCCGAGAUUAUCACAUCUCUCUCACAGACGUUUUAAUGAAAUGAACUUGAUCAGCAGAAAAAGAUCCGCUCGUCUUUUGUGCAUGGCAAAUUCUCUUCGGGCUAACAAGUCGCCUACCCUCUUUGGAAACGCCAUGGCACCACCGAAGCGGGCUUCGUGAAGAAGCUUUCCCUCACAUUUCUAGCCCUGUUCCUCAAAACCCUCCCUCCUUUUUCUUCCGAGGGGAGGCUUCUAACCGUUGGGGCAACAAGGCAAACAUCGGAGCGUCGGAACCAGAAGCAGCCACCUCAGCAAAGCUCAAAACCACCCGAAAUCCACCUAAGGAAAAAACGCGUUCCUCAGGCUCAUCGCAUCCACGCCUGGGAGGAACAUCGCCGUCCGAGAACUAAAUUAAAAAAAAAAAAAAAGGCUGGAAAAGGCCUGCAGUCUUGCUCUAAGGGCUCCGCUGGUCACUCGAUCGACCUCCCGUUUCCGCUCAGGCGCGGCGCCGCAGACUAACGGACAGCGGCCGGACGCCCAGCCCGCGCGCUGAGGACAGCGCUGCUACUGUCUUUCCCCGGCGCGCGGACAAGAGAGGAUUUUUUGCGCCCUCUUCCCCCCCCCCCACUCCCCUCCGCUCCGCCUAGGGCGGAUUCCGCCUUCCCGGCCGCGACUUUCCCGGGAGAGGCGAAGAGGAUCCCGCGGGGUGGAGU